rnacentral:rRNA from 1 species
UACGAAGGGGGCUAGCGUUGCUCGGAAUUACUGGGCGUAAAGGGCGCGUAGGCGGACAGUUUAGUCAGAGGUGAAAGCCCAGGGCUCAACCUUGGAAUUGCCUUUGAUACUGGCUGUCUUGAGUUCGGGGGAGGUGAGUGGAAUGCCGAGUGUAGAGGUGAAAUUCGUAGAUAUUCGGCGGAACACCAGUGGCGAAGGCGACUCACUGGCCCGAUACUGACGCUGAGGCGCGAAAGCGUGGGGAGCAAACAGG